rnacentral:misc_RNA from 1 species
UACGGAGGAUCCAAGCGUUAUCCGGAAUCAUUGGGUUUAAAGGGUGCGUAGGCGGGUUUAUAAGUCAGCGGUGAAUGUCUGCAGCUUAACUGGAGAACUGCCAUUGAUACUGGAGACCUUGAAUUAUUAUGAAGUGGUUAGAAUAUGUAGUGUAGCGGUGAAAUGCAUAGAUAUUACAUAGAAUACCGAUUGCGAAGGCAGAUCACUAAUAAUGUACUGACGCUGAUGGACGAAAGCGUAGGUAGCGAACAGG